AACGAACGCUGGCGGCAGGCUUAACACAUGCAAGUCGAGCGCCCCGCAAGGGGAGCGGCAGACGGGUGAGUAACGUGUGGGAAUCUACCCAUCUCUACGGAAUAACGCAUGGAAACGUGUGCUAAUACCGUAUGCGUCCUUCGGGAGAAAGAUUUAUCGGAGAUGGAUGAGCCCGCGUUGGAUUAGCUAGUUGGUGGGGUAAAGGCCUACCAAGGCGGCGAUCCAUAGCUGGUCUGAGAGGAUGAUCAGCCACACUGGGACUGAGACACGGCCCAGACUCCUACGGGAGGCAGCAGUGGGGAAUAUUGGACAAUGGGCGCAAGCCUGAUCCAGCCAUGCCGCGUGAGUGAUGAAGGCCCUAGGGUUGUAAAGCUCUUUCACCGGUGAAGAUAAUGACGGUAACCGGAGAAGAAGCCCCGGCUAACUUCGUGCCAGCCGCCGCUGUAAGAC
rnacentral:rRNA from 1 species